rnacentral:rRNA from 1 species
AUUUAUUGGGUUUAAAGGGUGCGUAGGCGGUUUGAUAAGUUAGAGGUGAAAUUUCGGGGCUCAACCCUGAACGUGCCUCUAAUACUGUUGAGCUAGAGAGUAGUUGCGGUAGGCGGAAUGUAUGGUGUAGCGGUGAAAUGCUUAGAGAUCAUACAGAACACCGAUUGCGAAGGCAGCUUACCAAACUAUAUCUGACGUUGAGGCACGAAAGCGUGGGGAGCAAACAGGAUUAGAUACCCUGGUAGUCCACGCAGUAAACGAUGAUAACUCGUUGUCGGCGAUACACAGUCGGUGACUAAGCGAAAGCGAUAAGUUAUCCACCUGGGGAGUACGUUCGCAAGAAUGAAACUCAAAGGAAUUGACGGGGGCCCGCACAAGCGGAGGAACAUGUGGUUUAAUUCGAUGAUACGCGAGGAACCUUACCCGGGCUUAAAAGUUACUGACGAUUCUUGAAAGAGGAUUUCCCUUCGGGGCGCGAAACUAGGUGCUGCAUGGUUGUCGUCAGCUCGUGCCGUGAGGUGUCGGGUUAAGUCCCAUAACGAGCGCAACCCCUACCGUUAGUUGCCAUCAGGUCAAGCUGGGCACUCUGGCGGGACUGCCGGUGUAAGCCGAGAGGAAGGUGGGGAUGACGUCAAAUCAGCACGGCCCUUACGUCCGGGGCUACACACGUGUUACAAUGGUAGGUACAGAGGGCAGCUACCCAGCGAUGGGAUGCGAAUCUCGAAAGCCUAUCUCAGUUCGGAUUGGAGGCUGAAACCCGCCUCCAUGAAGUUGGAUUCGCUAGUAAUCGCGCAUCAGCCAUG